CGCGUAGGUGGCUAAUUAAGUCAAAUGUGAAAUCCCCGAGCUUAACUUGGGAAUUGCAUUCGAUACUGGUUGGCUAGAGUAUGGGAGAGGAUGGUAGAAUUCCAGGUGUAGCGGUGAAAUGCGUAGAGAUCUGGAGGAAUACCGAUGGCGAAGGCAGCCAUCUGGCCUAAUACUGACACUGAGGUGCGAAAGCAUGGGGAGCAAACA
rnacentral:rRNA from 1 species